UACGUAGGGUGCGAGCGUUGUUCGGAAUUACGUGGGACGGUAAAGGGCAUGUAGGCGGCCUGAUAAGCCUGGCGUAGAAAGUCACCGGCUCAACCGGUGGAUUGCGUCGGGAACUGUCGGGCUCGAGUCACGGAGGGGAGUUAGAAUUCCUGGUGUAGGGGUGAAAUCUGUAGAGAUCAGGAAGAAUACCAGUGGCGAAGGCGAACUCCUGGCCGAUGACUGACGCUGAGGUGCGAAAGUGU
rnacentral:rRNA from 1 species